rnacentral:rRNA from 1 species
AAUGAACGCUAGCUACAGGCUUAACACAUGCAAGUCGAGGGGGUAGCACGGAGGAAGCUUGCUUCCUUGGGUGACGACCGGCGCACGGGUGAGUAACGCGUAUCCGACCUACCCAUAACUCGGGCACAGCCGCUCGAAAGAGUGAUUGAUUCCCGAUAUGUCAUUGGAGUAGAUUCAAUGAUGAAAGAUUUAUCGGUUAUGGAUGGGGAUGCGUAAGAUUAGGUAGUAGGCGGGGUAACGGCUCACCAUGGCGACGAUGUCUAGGGGAACUGAGAGGUUAAUCCCCCACACUGGUACUGAGACACGGACCAGACUCCUACGGGAGGCAGCAGUGAGGAAUAUUGGACAAUGGAUGGAAAUCUGAUCCAGCCAUGCCGCGUGCAGGAUGACGGCCCUAUGGGUCUUAAACUGCUUUUGUAUGGGAGCAAUAAGUUCUACGUGUAGAGCGAUGAGAGUACCUUACGAAUAAGCAUCGGCUAACUCCGUG